rnacentral:rRNA from 1 species
UACGGAGGGUGCAAGCGUUAUCCGGAUUCACUGGGUUUAAAGGGUGCGUAGGAGGGCAGGUAAGUCAGUGGUGAAAUCUCCGAGCUUAACUAGGAAACUGCCGUUGAUACUAUCUGUCUUGAAUACCGUGGAGGUGAGCGGAAUAUGUCAUGUAGCGGUGAAAUGCUUAGAUAUGACAUAGAACACCAAUUGCGAAGGCAGCUCACUACACGAGCAUUGACGCUGAGGCACGAAAGCGUGGGGAUCAAACAGG